rnacentral:rRNA from 1 species
UCCGUAGGUGAACCUGCGGAAGGAUCAUUACCGAGUUAGGGUCCAUCAAGGGCCCGACCUCCCAACCCUUUGCUUAUUAUACCUUGUGUUGCUUCGGUAGGUCUGGCUCGUCCUACCGGAGGACCGUAAAACGUCCUCUGGAGAGUGCCUACCGAUAGCCCAAACCAAAAACUCUUGAACAAAACAUGUCUCGUCUGAGUAAACAAAAAAAAUUAAAGCAAAACUUUCAACAACGGAUCUCUUGGUUCUCGCAUCGAUGAAGAACGCAGCGAAAUGCGAUAAGUAAUGUGAAUUGCAGAAUUCAGUGAAUCAUCGAAUCUUUGAACGCACAUUGCGCCCGCCAGUAUUCUGGCGGGCAUGCCUGUUCGAGCGUCAUUUCAACCCUCAAGCACAGCUUGGUGUUGGGACUCGCGUUAAUUCGCGUUCCUCAAAUUGAUUGGCGGUCACGUCGAGCUUCCAUAGCGUAGUAGUAAAACCCUCGUUACUGGUAAUCGUCGCGGCCACGCCGUUAAACCCCAACUUCUGAAUGUUGACCUCGGAUCAGGUAGGAAUACCCGCUGAACUUAAGCAUAUCAAUAAGCGGAGGA